rnacentral:rRNA from 1 species
AUGUCGGGUGCUGCACUGGUCGCGAUUGCGGCUUCCAUCGGCAAUCUGCUGCAGGGGUGGGACAAUGCCACCAUCGCUGGUGCUGUCCUGUACAUCAAGAAGGAAUUCCAGCUCGAAAAUAAUCCGACUGUGGAGGGGCUCAUCGUGGCCAUGUCGCUCAUCGGUGCAACCAUCAUCACCACAUUCUCCGGGCCAGUAUCAGACUGGGUUGGCCGGCGCCCUAUGCUCAUUCUCUCUUCGCUUCUCUACUUCCUCAGCGGCCUAAUUAUGCUAUGGUCACCCAAUGUCUAUGUGCUGCUCCUGGCACGCCUUGUCGAUGGCUUUGGUAUCGGCUUGGCUGUCACGCUGGUGCCUUUGUACAUCUCAGAGACGGCUCCUUCGGAGAUUAGGGGACGGCUCAACACGCUUCCACAGUUCAGUGGGUCAGGAGGGAUGUUCUUGUCAUACUGCAUGGUGUUCGGGAUGUCACUCUUGCCAUCACCUGAUUGGAGAAUUAUGCUGGGGGUUCUCUCAGUUCCGUCAUUGUUUUUCUUCAUCUUGACGGUAUUUUACCUGCCAGAAUCUCCGAGAUGGCUUGUCAGCAAGGGCCGAAUGGCAGAGGCAAAGAAGGUGCUGCAAAGAUUACGGGGAAGGGAGGAUGUCUCAGGAGAAAUGGCCCUUCUUGUUGAAGGUUUGGAGGUUGGAGGAGACACCUCCAUUGAGGAGUACAUAAUAGGACCAGCUAAUGACCCAGCUGACGAUCAUGUUGUUGAUGGCGAUAAUGACCAAAUAACACUAUAUGGGCCUGAAGAGGGCCAAUCAUGGAUUGCUCGACCUUCCAAGGGACCCAGCAUGCUUGGAAGUGUGCUUUCUCUUGCAUCUCGUCAUGGCAGCAUGGUGAACCAGAGUGUGCCCCUUAUGGAUCCUCUAGUCACGCUUUUCGGAAGUGUUCAUGAGAACAUGCCUCAAGUUGGAGGAAGCAUGCGGAGCACAUUGUUUCCUAACUUUGGCAGCAUGCUCAGUGUGGCAGAUCAGCACCCAAAAACUGAGCACUGGGAUGAGGAGAACGUUCAUAGGGACGAUGAAGAAUAUGCAUCUGAUGCUGGAGGUGACUACGAAGAUAAUGUCCAUAGCCCGCUGCUGUCACGACAGACCACAAACACGGAUGGGAAGGACCAUGGUCACCAUGGAAGCACUUUGGGCAUGAGAAGGAGAAGUCUCUUGGAAGAGGGUGGGGAGGCAGUCAGCAGCACUGGUAUUGGUGGGGGGUGGCAACUCGCAUGGAAAUGGUCGGAGCGACAAGGCGAGGAUGGCAAGAAGGAAGGAGGCUUCAAAAGAAUCUACUUGCACCAAGAGGGGGUGGCCGACUCAAGAAGGGGCUCUGUUGUUUCACUUCCUGGUGGGGGUGAUGCCACGCAAGGGGGCAGUGGGUUUAUACAUGCUGCUGCUUUGGUAAGCCACUCGGCUCUUUACUCCAAGGAUCUUAUGGAAGAGCGUAUGGCGGCCGGUCCAGCCAUGAUUCAUCCAUUGGAGGCAGCUCCCAAAGGUUCAAUCUGGAAAGAUCUGUUUGAACCUGGUGUGAGGCGUGCAUUGUUCGUCGGUGUUGGAAUUCAGAUGCUUCAGCAGUUUGCUGGAAUAAAUGGAGUUCUCUACUAUACUCCUCAAAUUCUGGAGCAAGCUGGUGUGGCUGUUCUUCUUUCCAAUCUUGGCCUCAGUUCAGCAUCAGCAUCCAUCUUGAUCAGUUCUCUCACCACCUUACUCAUGCUCCCAAGCAUUGGUGUAGCCAUGAGACUUAUGGAUAUAUCUGGAAGAAGGUUUCUGCUACUGGGCACAAUUCCCAUCUUGAUAGCAUCCCUAAUUGUUUUGGUUGUGUCCAAUGUUAUCAACUUGAGUACGGUGCCCCACGCUGUGCUCUCCACAGUUAGCGUCAUUGUCUACUUCUGCUGCUUUGUCAUGGGCUUUGGCCCGAUCCCCAACAUUCUAUGUGCAGAGAUUUUCCCCACCAGAGUCCGUGGUGUCUGCAUCGCUAUUUGCGCCCUCACAUUCUGGAUUUGUGACAUUAUUGUUACCUACAGCCUGCCUGUGAUGCUGAAUGCUAUUGGUCUAGCGGGUGUCUUUGGUAUAUAUGCAGUCGUUUGCUGCAUUGCCUUUGUGUUCGUCUACCUAAAGGUCCCAGAGACAAAGGGCAUGCCCCUCGAGGUCAUCACCGAGUUCUUUGCGGUUGGGGCGAAGCAAGCGCAGGCCACCAUUGCCUGA